CAGGUAGGCGGCUUCGUGUGUCUCUUGUGAAAGCCCUCGGCUCAACUGAGGAAUUGCAAGGGAAACUACGGAGCUUGAGUCCGGGAGAGGAGAGUGGAAUUCCCAGUGUAGCGGUGAAAUGCGUAGAUAUUGGGAGGAACACCGGUGGCGAAGGCGGCUCUCUGGACCGGUACUGACGCUGAGCUGCGAAAGCCAGGGGAGCAAACGGGAUUAGAUACCCCGGUAGUCCUGGCUGUAAACGAUGAGCACUUGGUGUGGCGGGUAUCGACCCCUGCCGUGCCGAAGCUAACGCAUUAAGUGCUCCGCCUGGGGAGUACGGUCGCAAGGCUGAA
rnacentral:rRNA from 1 species